AGAUUGAACGCUGGCGGCAGGCCUAACACAUGCAAGUCGAGCGGCAGCACGGGUACUUGUACCUGGUGGCGAGCGGCGGACGGGUGAGUAAUGCCUAGGAAUCUGCCUGAUAGUGGGGGAUAACGUUCGGAAACGGACGCUAAUACCGCAUACGUCCUACGGGAGAAAGUGGGGGAUCUUCGGACCUCACGCUAUCAGAUGAGCCUAGGUCGGAUUAGCUAGUUGGUAGGGUAAAGGCCUACCAAGGCUACGAUCCGUAACUGGUCUGAGAGGAUGAUCAGUCCACACUGGAACUGAGACACGGUCCAGACUCCUACGGGAGCAGCAGUGGGAAUAU
rnacentral:rRNA from 1 species